GGAAGUGACGUCGCGGUUGUAACUAGGCGCCAUGUCACACGCCCCGCGUCCACACCGGCUGCAGUAGCCGUCAACGAGGAUGGUUUUGAUGCAGGUUCGCGGUUCGUUUGUUUGUCGGUUCGUCUUCUCAGCGGAACACAGCGACUGUAAAGAGGCGAGUGCAACUGUAACGUGAAACACCGUCUGUCCUCCGACGUCAGGUUCAGUGGACUAGAGCAGACUGCCAUGUUCAACUCCAGUGAACUAGAGGGUGAAGUGGAUCAUUCGUUUUUCGAUAGUGAUGGUGAUGAUGUUAACGUCAGCCGAGGUAGAGGGGAAAAGAUGGACAGCCCACCAGCAGACGAGAGGCUUCGAGGGAAACGGACUGAAAAAAAAAAAGAGGAUUUGUCCCCGAGGAUGGAUGGGACAAAAAAACACCUGGAGCAAGUGAACAACAGAAGCAGGGAGGAGAGGAAAGAGAGAUGCUAUCAUUCAAAGCAAGAAGAGAGGAGAAGGGCAUCCAACAGAACUUCUAUCUCCUCUACGUCAGAUAAAGGCAUCAGUAGCAGCAGUGAUAGUGAGGAAGAUUAUCAUUUGCGCUCUAAAAGGCCGGAUAAGACAUUCAUGGCUUUGUUGGUGGAGACCAGGGACGUACAUGAGGAAGAUGAGUACAGCCUGAGUCCUAAUGAGACUGAAGAAGAAGCAUUGCCGUCCACUGCCAAACACACGAAAAUGAGAAAUAAACAAUCUCCUAAAAAACUGACAAGAAAUUGGCGCACCCGAAGUCCUUCCCCCACUUCAACAGAGGCAGACUCGGAUAAAUGUUCCAGCAGUGGCGGUUUGGUGUCCCCCACCCUUCCCAAACCCACAAAGUCCUCUUUAUUCCCCACAGAGAGACGGGCCAGACUGGGCUCAGCGGGAUCGAGGGAUUCGCCUACCAGCCGGACAGAGGAGUCAGACGAUACAGUGACAGAUGUGAGCCCCCUCUCCUCUCCUGACAUCAGCCCUCUGCAGUCAUUGGACCUGAACCACACACAGGCUGAUGAGGGAAGCUUUAAAGAGCAGCAGCAGCAGCAGGAGCAGCAGGAGCAGGAGAGUGUGCCCUCCAGUGGCCUCAGCUAUAUACAUCCAGAUGAGAACUCAGAUCAGGAAGUGGAUGAGUCUUCUCUCGGUUCAGAGAGUCAGUUUGGAUUCAAACAGGUUGUCAACUUUCCCGGACGGAAGAACCGGAAGAACUUCUCAUUCAGCAACAACGAGGUCCGACGGAUAGACCUCGAGAACCAGCGGCUGCUUCGGUCGCUGUCACGCCUUUCUGCAGAGUCCAUACCGGAAAGUGCAGUGAAAAAGAAAAACAACAAGGAAACCGGAAACUCGUCUGCCAUUCGCCUCACUCACAGCGCAGUCAACAGGCAGCGGGAACAGAAACGCAUCGAGAGGGAGAAUCUGGCUUUCCUGAAGAGACUGGAGUCUGUCAAACCUUCAAAUGGGAUGAGGCGCUCAGAGCAACUGGCGGACUACCACCGCCGAGCAACACAUUUUGGAGCUCCUAUAUACCCUGUCAGUCAGUCGACCUCAAAGAAAGUCAGAUGGACGGACUCAACAGGCUCCAGGUCCGUCAGUUCCACCCACCACAGCUCCAGAGCAGCGUCCACCACCACCACAGAGUCCAGCAGUUCACCUGGACCCAGGUCAAAACAACUGGGUGCAGCUGCUAAGAAGCACGUUGCUGGUUACCUGUAGUUGUAUCUAUCGGUAUCCAUUCAUCAGAGCAGAUCAGGAAUGAAAGGGAAACACUCCUAAGUAUUCCUCGCCACCAGCCAGGUCAGAGGUCAGGCUCAGCUGCAGGGCUACAACUGGUUGGGGGGAUUCAGCAUCUUGUUCAUGUUGUUGCCUUCAGUAAAGCAGGUGUUAGCUGGCGCAUGGGCUUGCACCUGCUUUUUGACAAUCGCUGCUUGUGCGUCCAUUUCGAUUCGAUGGCCAGAGAGAGGGCUGAUUGACCCCGUGACCCUUCCUGUGUGAGGCGACGCUCGUCGGUGUCCGGAGCUCCUGUCAGCGGGUUAAUGAGCGACGGCUGCUCGGGGCACGCUGGGCCUUGGCUAAGUGACCGGGCCGGAUGACCACCCUCUGCUCUGAGCCUUUCGGCCAUCAGUUAAACAGCCCCUCCACCACCACCACCUCCAUCCGACACCCGUCACUUAAGCUCAGAUUUCCUGAUGUGGCCGUCGUUUCCACAGUCUGUGUUGUGUCGCUGCAUGUUCUUGCUGUCGGACAUGGGUGUCCUGCUGUGAAGGUCACGGUGAGAUCAGACAACCAUCCUGAGGUGAACCGGCGGAGAUCAGAUGCCACUGGAGCACUGUGAUUACCCACCAGACUGACUGACUGUUGGAUUUCCCGCAGCUUGUGUACAUCUUUGGCUUCGCUCCCAAAGCACGGCAGUAAACCUUCUUCACACACACACACACACACACACACACACACGCACUGAGGCAACACAAGCACACUACACUGCUGAGAGGAAAGAAGAUUUGCUGUUGUACACCCAGAAGCUUAGCCGGCUGCCUUAAGUGACCGUGCAGGUGGAAAGAUCAGAUCAACACUUGGAUCCCUCUCUAGGCUAAAGCAGUGGUCUCCAGUGUUUAUUUGUUUUUAUUUAUUUAUUUUUUUGGACCGGGGGGGGGGGACUUGUUACCCCUAAAGGAAUAGUACAACAUUUUGGAGAUAUGCUUGUUUACAUUCUUGCACACAGAUAGAUUAGAAGAUCGAUGCAACACCAUUAAAGACAAAGCAUCACAGCCAGCGUAAUUUGCCACAAAAAUAUGAAACAGGCAGAAAAAGCUGUCCAGCACCUUGAUAGCUCACAAAUUAACACAUUAUAUUCUUGCAUAUUAAAACUGAGGGCAGGGCAAGUUUAUUUGUAUGGCACAUUUCCACAACAAGGCAAUUCAAAGUGCUUUACAUAAAACAAUAAAAGACAUUAAAAUGUAAAAACAAUACUGUUC